GACUGCCCUAUUGGAUUUAGGACUUGCAUGGGGCCUGUAGCCCUUUUGUUUUGGACAAUUUCUCCCAUUUGGAAUGGAUAUAUUUACUCAGCACCUGUACCCCCAUUGUAUCUAGGAAGUAACUAACUUGCCUUUGAUUUUACAGGCUCAUAGGUGGAAGGUACUUGCCUUAUCUCCGAUGAGACUUUGGAUUUAGACUUUUGGAUUAAUGCUGGAAUAAGUUAAGAUUUUGAGGGACUGUUGGAAGGGCAUUAUUGUGUUUUGAAAUGUGAGGACAUGAGAUGCUGAUCAUCAGUGAGCCAAGCCUGGAAGCCUGAGCCAUCACCAGCUGGGUGGUAGCCAGCUGUGGCUCAGGGCCACUCUAGAAACACUUGCCUUGGGCUGCAGCUGCCCUGGGCUACUACCCUGAUCCCUAGGAAACGGGGCAUGGGGCAUUUUCCUGAACAGAGCCCUUGCCAAUGCCCAGCAAGAAACCAGUGUGGCACUGGGAUUGGAAAGCCUGGAGUGUGAAUAUGGACUCUGAUGUGCCAACUUACAGAAGAAGCAUAGGCAAGAUUCUUAGUCUCGACAUCAAGCUGAGUCCUUGAAGUGGUCGGAGGGACAAAACAGAAUUCCUGGAGACAGUGUCCUAAGGGAGUGCCAGAGGCACUCAUUUGUUUGACAACUAAUUUUGGAGGCAGGUGCUCUUCCUUGUCUUAGGAUCUUCCAGUCAACAAGGCUGAAAAUCUCCCUGCCUCCUGGAGCUUGCUUCUGUGGAAGAAGGCAGUCAGCAAACACAUGAACAAAGACAAGUUCA
rnacentral:lncRNA from 1 species